AGCAGUCGCCGCGGGAACACGGAGGGUGCAAGCGUUAUCCGGAUUUAUUGGGUUUAAAGGGUCCGUAGGCGGACUUAUAAGUCAGUGGUGAAAGCCUGUCGCUUAACGAUAGAACUGCCAUUGAUACUGUAAGUCUUGAGUAUAUUUGAGGUAGCUGGAAUAAGUAGUGUAGCGGUGAAAUGCAUAGAUAUUACUUAGAACACCAAUUGCGAAGGCAGGUUACCAAGAUAUAACUGACGCUGAGGGACGAAAGCGUGGGUAGCGAACAGGAUUAGAUACCCCGGUAGUCCCUGUCUCUUAUAC
rnacentral:rRNA from 1 species